rnacentral:rRNA from 1 species
UACGUAGGGGGCAAGCGUUGUCCGGAAUUACUGGGCGUAAAGCGCACGUAGGCGGAUCGAUCAGUCAGGGGUGAAAUCCCAGAGCUCAACUCUGGAACUGCCUUUGAUACUGUCGAUCUGGAGUAUGGAAGAGGUGAGUGGAAUUCCGAGUGUAGAGGUGAAAUUCGUAGAUAUUCGGAGGAACACCAGUGGCGAAGGCGGCUCACUGGUCCAUUACUGACGCUGAGGUGCGAAAGCGUGGGGAGCAAACAGG